rnacentral:sRNA from 1 species
AUAUCUCUCUGUACGGGAAGGAUGAGAAGCUUCGACCAAGGUUCGAUUCGAGCGUCAGCGAGAAAGCGUUGCCGCAGGCAACGACCCGAAGGGCG